GUCGAGAAUCUUUCACAAUGGGGGCAACCCUGAUGGAGCGACGCCGCGUGGAGGAUAAGGUCUUCGGAUUGUAAACUCCUGUCAUGCGUGAACAAGGUUGCUUGGAUAAUACCUGAGCAAAUUGAUGGUAGCGCAAGAGGAAGAGACGGCUAACUCUGUGCCAGCAGCCGCGGUAAUACAGAGGUCUCAAGCGUUGUUCGGAAUCACUGGGCGUAAAGGGUGCGUAGGUGGCGUGGCAAGUCAGUUGUGAAAGCCCGGGGCUCAACCUCGGAACUGCAUCCGAUACUGGCAUGCUAGAGUACUGGAGGGGUGACUAGAAUUCUCGGUGUAGCAGUGAAAUGCGUAGAUAUCGAGAGGAAUACCAAAGGCGUAGGCAGGUCACUGGACAGUUACUGACACUGAGGCACGAAGGCCAGGGGAGCGAACGGGAUUAGAAACCCUAGUAGUCC
rnacentral:rRNA from 1 species